UUUGAUGGAGGGUUUGAUCCUGGCUCAGGACGAACGCUGGCGGCGUGCUUAACACAUGCAAGUCGAACGGUAAGGCUCCAGCUUGCUGGGGUACACGAGUGGCGAACGGGUGAGUAACACGUGGGUGACCUGCCCUGCACUUCGGGAUAAGCCUGGGAAACUGGGUCUAAUACCGGAUAGGACCGCACCGUGAGGGUGUGGUGGAAAGUUUUUUCGGUGUGGGAUGGGCCCGCGGCCUAUCAGCUUGUUGGUGGGGUAAUGGCCUACCAAGGCGGCGACGGGUAGCCGGCCUGAGAGGGUGGACGGCCACAUUGGGACUGAGACACGGCCCAGACUCCUACGGGAGGCAGCAGUGGGGAAUAUUGCACAAUGGGCGGAAGCCUGAUGCAGCGACGCCGCGUGGGGGAUGACGGCCUUCGGGUUGUAAACUCCUUUCACCAUCGACGAAGGGUUUCUGACGGUAGAUGGAGAAGAAGCACCGGCUAACUACGUGCCAGCAGCCGCGGUAAUACGUAGGGUGCGAGCGUUGUCCGGAAUUACUGGGCGUAAAGAGCUCGUAGGUGGUUUGUCGCGUCGUCUGUGAAAUUCCGGGGCUUAACUCCGGGCGUGCAGGCGAUACGGGCAUAACUUGAGUACUGUAGGGGAGACUGGAAUUCCUGGUGUAGCGGUGAAAUGCGCAGAUAUCAGGAGGAACACCGGUGGCGAAGGCGGGUCUCUGGGCAGUAACUGACGCUGAGGAGCGAAAGCAUGGGGAGCGAACAGGAUUAGAUACCCUGGUAGUCCAUGCCGUAAACGGUGGGCGCUAGGUGUGGGUUUCCUUCCACGGGAUCCGUGCCGUAGCUAACGCAUUAAGCGCCCCGCCUGGGGAGUACGGCCGCAAGGCUAAAACUCAAAGGAAUUGACGGGGGCCCGCACAAGCGGCGGAGCAUGUGGAUUAAUUCGAUGCAACGCGAAGAACCUUACCUGGGCUUGACAUAUACAGGAUCGCGCCAGAGAUGGUGUUUCCCUUGUGGCUUGUAUACAGGUGGUGCAUGGUUGUCGUCAGCUCGUGUCGUGAGAUGUUGGGUUAAGUCCCGCAACGAGCGCAACCCUUGUCUUAUGUUGCCAGCACGUUGUGGUGGGGACUCGUAAGAAACUGCCGGGGUUAACUCGGAGGAAGGUGGGGAUGACGUCAAAUCAUCAUGCCCCUUAUGUCCAGGGCUUCACACAUGCUACAAUGGUCGGUACAGUGGGUUGCCAGUCCGUGAGGGCGAGCUAAUCCCGCAAAGCCGGUCUCAGUUCGGAUCGGGGUCUGCAACUCGACCCCGUGAAGUCGGAGUCGCUAGUAAUCGCAGAUCAGCAACGCUGCGGUGAAUACGUUCCCGGGCCUUGUACACACCGCCCGUCACGUCAUGAAAGUCGGUAACACCCGAAGCCAGUGGCCUAACACAUUUUGUGGGGGAGCUGUCGAAGGUGGGAUUGGCGAUUGGGACGAAGUCGUAACAAGGUAGCCGUACCGGAAGGUGCGGCUGGAUCACCUCCUUUCUAAGGAG
rnacentral:rRNA from 2 species